rnacentral:rRNA from 1 species
GACAGAGGGUGCAAACGUUGUCCGGAUUUACUGGGCGUAAAGAGCGCGCAGGCGGUCGUUCAAGUCGCGUGUGAAAGCCCCCGGCUCAACUGGGGAGGGUCACGCGAUACUGGUCGACUCGAAGGCGGGAGAGGGUAGUGGAAUUCCCGGUGUAGUGGUGAAAUGCGCAGAUAUCAGGAGGAACACCGGUGGCGAAGGCGGAUCUCUGGGCCUUAACUGACGCUGAGGCGCGAAAGCUAGGGGAGCGAACAGG